rnacentral:rRNA from 1 species
UAUGUGAUCGUCUCUCGCAUAUCAAUAAGCGGAGGAAAAGAAACUAACAAGGAUUCCCCUAGUAACGGCGAGUGAAGCGGGAAGAGCUCAAAUUUGAAAUCUUAAAGGGUUUCCCUUUACGAAUUGUAGUUUAAAGAAGUGUUUUCUGUUGAGGUUUUGGUAAAAGUUCUUUGGAAUAGGACAUCAUAGAGGGUGAGAAUCCCGUAUUUGACCUUUACUUUCAACUUUGUGAUACACUUUCAAAGAGUCGGAUUGUUUGGGAAUGCAGUCCAAAAUGGGUGGUAAAUUUCAUCUAAAGCUAAAUAUUGGCGAGAGACCGAUAGCGAACAAGUACCGUGAGGGAAAGAUGAAAAGAACUUUGAAAAGAGAGUUAAACAGUACGUGAAAUUGUCAAAAGGGAAGCGUUUGACACCAGUGUUGUUUUUCUGAAAAUCAAUUAAAGAACUGUUUAUGCUAAGCUUGUUUAGACUUUAUCAGCUAACUGUUUAGUUUUGAGCUUUUCUUUAAUGCACUUUUCAGUUAACAAGUCAACAUCAAUUUCUUUUGCUGUAAAAAAGCUUGAGGAAGGUGGCUUGAGAUUCGUCUUAAGUGUUUAUAGCCUCUUGCCUAUGCAGUCGGAGAGAUUGAGGUCUGCAGCGUAGAUCCUUCGGGGCUAAAUGCAUUUGUGCUAAGUUAUAGCAUUUUAUAGACAACUUGUUGACUAUGAUUUGUCUUGUAGCUUACUCGCUUAUGUUAUUUUACCUACGCUUAGGAUGUUGACGCGCGUGUGUGCGUG